AUUCAUUUUUAUCCCUUCCUGUCUAAACAAGAACUGUAUGGAAUAACACCACCACCGUGCUCUGUGGGAAAAAAAGAAAAGCCUUCUGCUCCCUUCACUCUGACAGAAGCUGGAGGGUGCUGGCCCUGUGGAGUAGUGCAUAGAUUCUAGCUUCUUUCCUCCUUUCUCUGUAUAUUGGGCUCAGAGAUUACACUGUGUCUCUAUGUGAAUAUGGACAGUUAGCAUUUACCAACAUGUACCUGUCUACUUUCUCUUGUUUAAUAAAAAGAAAAACAUCUUUUUAAAAAAUGGGGUAUAGAAGGUCAGCAAAGGGUGGGUUUGAGAUGUCUGGGUGGGUUAAGUGGGCAUUUUGACAACAUGGCUUCUCCUUUGGCAUAUUUAAUUGUGAUGUUUAAUGGACAUCCUUGCAGUUUAAGAUGACACUUUGAAAAUAAAAUUCUCUCCUAAUGAUGACUUGAGUCCUGCCACUCUAUGGGAGAAUCAGCAGAACCUGUAGGAUUUAUUUGGAAUUGACAUUCUCUAUUGUAAUUUUGUUUUAUUUUUAAAUUUUCUUUGUUUUCACUGGAAAGGAAAGAUACUGCUCAGUUUUAAACGUUAAGUGUACCAGUUGCUUUGUUACAAUAAAACUAAAUGUGUACACAAAGGGUUUGAUGCUUUUCUCUCAGAAUAGAUGCAUAAUAUGACCUUCCAAAUCGGAAGAGCGACGUG